rnacentral:siRNA from 1 species
AAGCACAGUAUUCAUUCCUUCAGU